rnacentral:rRNA from 1 species
GAAAUUAGUGUCUUAUAACAUAGUGGAGACAAAGUUUUAUAUUCUACAAAGCAUCCGAUUUGAUUCGUAUGGUUUUGGAGAAUAUAAAACCUUGUCUCUCCUCAUAAACUAGUGAGUUGAUGUAUAGAACUUACGUCAAAUGGUCUGGCUUCGAUCGUUUAAUACCCGUAUAUGGAUAAGCAAAAUUUUUGGAAAGUUAAUACGUGUCUGUUGAUCGUUUAAUACUCGUUAGAUACAUAAAUAAAUGGCUUGGAACGUUGAUACUUACCUGAUUAGCUAGUUAACCUUCUAUCAAAACAACCUGGUUGGUAUACUAACGAGUGAUUCGUCGUAAAGUCGUUCAUCUAUUAUCAUUAAGUCCAUUUCCAAGAAAAACGAUACGUUUUAUAUUUUACCUGUUCAGUGAAAGAGUUCAUCAAACCCUACAGGGAACCCUUUAUCAUGAACGAAUUAGCUAAAACAAGCAUCAAGCUUGUACCUGGAAUCUUCCCACUAAAACGAUCUAAACUCCAAUUUAUAUAAAGAAAAAACGUUUAUUCAAUAUAUAAGGAACUUGUUUUUAGAUGGAUUAAAAUACAACCUAUGGAAGUAUAUAGAAGUAUAUAAACCGAUCUAACGAAAAAGUACGGUCUAAGUCUAGGUUGGUUCACUGCUAAGGUUGAACCAGUGUCUUAUUCUUUUGCGGAACGUCAGGAGAAGAUGGUGUUCGUGUAGUGGAGAAGCCGAGAAGCAACAAAGGGCCUUAGUUCCACUACGACUCCUCUAAAAGUGAAGUAUACUACAAAACCACUAUAUUUGGUCGUUCUUCUAGAAGAAUCUCCAACUAUGUGCUGGAGAAGUGCGUGAUGGGUCAGCAACUCUCUUACGUCGAGGCCUCCGUGGGACGGUUCUGCGACGGAUAACUCGAGUUACCUCUUCGGUAUCACCUGUCGGAAUGACUUUUAUUAUUCUUUUCCCACACCCGAUCGUCUUACCAUUCCCUACUGCUUGACAUGUAUUAUGUCCAAGUUCCGUAACAACCGUAGUCAGAGGGUUGAUGCGACCAGCAGUUCUUCACGGUCUUGCACUUGGAUCGUGAUGUUCACCUACUGUUACAGUUCGUGGCGAUGUAAAGUCUCUACGAGGACAAUCGGUCGUUGAGAGUGCUGUUGUAGUAGUUUCAGCAUCUGUAGUAGGUCUCCCUUCUACGGUUACGGUAGUACGAGCAAAUACUCAUAGGCCACUUACCGUCGGAAGUUAGGACCGACGUGGUUGUCUACUUACGACAAGCCGGCGACCCGACCGGUCUCUCCUCCCAGUAACGGUAACCACACCGGUUGCCCGAGACGGUGAACGUGGUGUCUACGUUUUUCGUCUAAUAGGUGGUGUUGUAGUUGAGGUUGUUGUAGAACGAACUAGUCUUAAAGUUCGGACACUAUCGGUCAAAACUGCGACGUGUCUACUUGUACCGGCCCGAGCUGGUUGGCAACGGUUAACAUCCGGACGGAGAUCCCUUGAAACCAAUGAGUCGAGGUCUUAUGCCCCAGCGUCGUUCGCUCGACUGCCUCUUCCAUCUGUAAAUGUCGAUACCACACGACGAUCACCUCGAGCAGUGCCCCGCCUACCGGUUACAUCGACCUCGCCUACCAGUAAACCGUUGGACCCGCGCCUUGUUGAAGUGAUUCGACUACCGUUUGGUUGUCCUUUACAAGGUCUCACGGCACCUGGCCCUGUAGGGUCUAGUUCGCGCCAUGUACUUCCUCUACCGUUGACACAAGUACGACCCACAACUAACGUGGCGACAACUAGGUGUCUUUUCCGGCAGGUACGCCUACCGAGAGUUUGCUGAGGCGGCGCCGAUGCCCGCGCCGGGUAAGGCACCGGAGGAGUGGACGAUAGACGACACUACGAACAACAGAAAAGAUCUUUCUAGUGUAGUACUUACUUAACAAGUAUACUACUGAGCCAACUUAUUUAAACAUCUAUGUAGAGACUCUUGUAAAACGACAGCACGGAAAAAGACUCUUGUAAAACG